UGAGUGCAUAGACAGAGCCCUCUCUAGCCUG
rnacentral:piRNA from 1 species